CCCCCCCCCCCCCCCCCCCCCCCCCCCCCCCCCCCCCCCCCCCCCCCCCCCCCCCCCCCCCCCCCCCCCCCCCCCCCCCCCCCCCCCCCCCCCCCCCCCCCCCCCCCCCGUGCCCCCCUCCCACCCCGCUGGAGGCGUUUCCCUGGCACCAGAUGACCCCUGAGCCCCGGUCCCUGUCCUCACCCCCCAUCCCCAUCCCGGUGGGAGGGGUGCUCCUGCCGAGGAGGAGGAGGAGGAGGCACGAGGGGGGAGGAAGAGGAGGCCGGGCAGAGUCCCGAGGCCUUGCUUUAUGCCAGAGUAAUAUAUUUGUGUCUUGACAAUUCAGGAAGGGCUACAAAGUGUUUUUUUUGUUCCGUAGGUGGGAGUUAAACAAUUUCACUGUUGCUUUGGGAUAAGUGAAAAUUUCCUCUCAAUGACUUUUAAGUGCCUGCAUUUCCCUGGGGGCGGGGGGGACGCGCUCGGCCCCGCAGCCGGGGCUGCUGCCUGGGCACCCCAAUUCGUGGGCACCCCGAUUUGAGGGCACCCUGAUUUUGUGGGCACCCUGAUUUCACAGGCACCCCGAUUUUGGGAAAACCCUGAUUCGUGGGCACCCCGAUUCAUGGGCACCCCAAUUUGUGGGCACCCCAGUUCGUGGGCACCCUGAUUUCAUGGGCACCCUGAUUCUGGGAAAACCCUGAUUCGUGUGCACCCCAAUUCUGGGGGAACCCCAAUUCGUGGGCACCCCGAUUUUGUGGGAACCCCAGUUCAUGGGCACCCCAACUCUGGGGACACCCUGAUUCUGGGGGCACCCCAGUUCGUGGGCACCCCAAUUCUGGGGCACCCCAGUUUUGGGGCACCCCAGUUUGUGGGCACCCCAAUUCUGGGGCACCCCAGUUUUGGGGCACCCCUCUGUCCCGGGAGCGGGGCUGGGGCGUCGGGGCCGGAGCUGCUUGUGGUGGCAGAGACCUGUGGAUGCUCCUGGAGAAGGGGUUGGGGAUCCCCCAACGGUUGACACAUCUGCCAACUCUUGAUUUAGUUUGUUUGUUUGUUUGUUUUGUGGUUUUUUGUUUUGUUUUGUUUUUUUUUUUGUUUUUGUUUUUUCGUCAUUUCAUAAAACUUUUCAAUCCAAUAAAGCAUGUAGUCUAUUUUACGAGCUGCUGGCUGCUGCUCUCUUCUUCCAGCCCUUCCCGGG
ensembl:lncRNA